rnacentral:rRNA from 1 species
UACGGAGGGUGCAAGCGUUGUCCGGAUUUAUUGGGUUUAAAGGGUGCGUAGGCGGCCCGUUAAGUCAGCGGUGAAAGCCCGGGGCUCAACCCCGGAACCGCCGUUGAUACUGGCGGGCUUGAGUAUGGACGAGGUUGGCGGAAUUGAGGGUGUAGCGGUGAAAUGCUUAGAUACCCUCAAGAACACCGAUUGCGUAGGCAGCUAACUAGGCCAUAACUGACGCUGAGGCACGAAAGCGUGGGGAGCGAACAGG